rnacentral:tRNA from 1 species
CGCAGGGUAGCGCAGCCCGGUCGCGCGCUCGGCUCAUAACCGAGAGGACAUCGGUUCAAAUCCGAUCCCUGCAACCA